rnacentral:rRNA from 1 species
GACAGAGGUGCCGAGCGUUAGGCGGAAUCACUGGGCUUAAAGCGUGUGUAGGCGGACUUGUAAGUACCUUGUGAAAUCCCAUGGCUCAACCAUGGAACUGCUUGGUAUACUGCUUGUCUUGAGCCACUUAGGGGCAGUCGGAACAGAUGGUGGAGCGGUGAAAUGCGUAGAUAUCGGAAGGAACGCCGGUGGCGAAAGCGGCGUGCUGGACCUCUUCUGACGCUGAGGCGCGAAAGCCAGGGGAGCGAACGGG